AGCAUUACUGCUUGAUUCGAAGAAUCAUAUCAGAAUAUCGAUCUAAUCUAGAAAAUUUCGUCAGUAUAACUGUCUGAUUCAGAGAAUCAUGACAAAAUCAUUGUGCUAGAUUCGGUUGGUCAGCCUUCCAAAAAUGAUUACACGAUUGUCUUCUCUAUAAAUACCCAAACUUCAAGGAUCUAGAUAAGUAAUCCAUUUUCAUUAAGCUCAAAACUCUACUUCUUUGUUUGCACAUUCUGACUUGAGUGUCGGAGGGUCCUCGCUGGAGCACCAUCCUCCGACCCAAAGUUUUUUGUAGGUUGUUCCAAUGCUGCGUUUCUUUAUCUUCUGACGUCAAUCAG
rnacentral:lncRNA from 1 species